rnacentral:rRNA from 1 species
GACGAACGCUGGCGGCGUGCCUAAUACAUGCAAGUCGAACGCAGUGGGGACGGGUGAGUAAAACGUGGGUAACCUCCCAUCAGAGGGGAUAACACUUGGAAAAAGGUGCUAAACCGAUACUGAUGGAUGGACCCGCGGUGCAUUAGCCAGUGGGUGAGGUAACGGCUCACCAAGGCCACGAUGCCUAGCCGGCCUGAGAGGGGGAUCGGCCACACUGGAACUGAGACACGGCCCAGACUCCUACGGGAGGCAGCAGUGGGGAAUCUUCGGCAAUGGACGAAAGUCUGACACAGCAAUGCCGCGUGAGUGAAGAAGGUUUUCGGAUUGUAAAACUCUGUUGUUAGGGAAGCGGUAUCUAACCAGAAAGCCACGGCUAACUCCGUGCCAGCAGCCGCGGUAAUUC